GGGUGUGCAACUCAAAACAAGUAGGUCUCAUCAACACCCCUAAGCUACCAAAUCUUACAUGACUCAACCAAAUUCUAUGUUUGAUUAAGCAAACCUGAAUCUGAACCCAUUCCACAAUUUCUAAACGGAAAAAUAACUCCAUGUUGAGUAAAUUUAGGUCAGGUGGUGUUGGGUCUGAUCAAGCUUGGAUGUUUUCCCCUUGCUUUACAUAAGCGUUGGG
rnacentral:lncRNA from 1 species